AUUGAACGCUGGCGGCAGGCCUAACACAUGCAAGUCGAGCGGAUGAAGGGAGCUUGCUCCUGGAUUCAGCGGCGGACGGGUGAGUAAUGCCUAGGAAUCUGCCUGGUAGUGGGGGAUAACGAUCGUAAAAGGGCGCUAAUACCGCAUCCGUCCUGAGGGAGCGAGUGGGGGAGCUUCGGACCUCACGCUAUUAGAUGAGCCUAGGUCGGAUUAGCUAGUUGGUGGGGUAAAGGUCUACCAAGGCGACGAUCCGUAACUGAUCUGAGAGGAUGAUCAGUCACACUGGAACUGAGACACGGUCCAGACUCCUACGGGAGGCAGCAGUGGGGAAUAUUGGACAAUGGGCGAAAGCCUGAUCCAGCCAUGCCGCGUGUGUGAAGAAGGUCUUCGGAUGGUAAAGCACUUUAAGUUGGGAGGAAGGGCAGUAAGUUAAUACCUUGCUGUUUUGACGUUACCAACAGAAUAAGCACCGGCUAACUUCGUG
rnacentral:rRNA from 1 species